GUACCCAUUUCUUUUGGUGGAAUGGAAUUGCUGGGUCAUAGGGUAUGCUUAUAUCGAUCUUUAAUAGAUGCUGCAAAACCAAUUUCCAAAGAGAUUAUAGCACAUAGCACCUUUUAAAGGAAAAUUUUUGAUGGCGAGGACCCUAUCCAGGAGGCUAAGAACUGGCCUGGAUUCCUGCUCUAGAGGCAUUUCUGCUGGGGAGGAAACUACUGUGCCAGCCAUCAGCAGGCAGUUGUAUGAACAGGACAGGUCCUGUUCCUGUGUAAGGGCCGAGAACUGCAUAUACAUAGCUGUGUGUUUAUUUGAGUGAAUCAGCACAACUUUAUUUCAAGUUUCUGCCACUCUGAAUGAACAGAUGUGUCUUCUUUCAAAAGGUUUAUUAAUAGAGCUGUAAGUUAAUGUCUUGGCAAGAAAAGACGGCAUCUCAAAGGGCACAUCAGAGUUAGUGAAGAGACCAUUUGGUCAGGGUUAAGAGAAACAAGGGAUGCUGAAGUGCCCAGGGACACAACAGUGGAAAACUGUUGCCACUCGUUGACCCACAGGAACGCUGAUUGGGUUCUGGCAAGAGCUGUAGCCCUGUAGAGCCAACUCGACUGUAAGAGGAACACAGAGAGAGUGGGUUUGGUGGGAGCUGGGAACAAAUUCUCCAAUCUCCUGUCCUGUCUCAUCUGCUGGUGUAUCCUGUUGGCCAAACCCAGGUGGAAGCCAGCAAACAAGAGGGGCCGAUGCAGUCCGUGUGGGUCAGCCUCCUGGGAUAUACAGUUCAGUGGUAUUAAAUACAUUCACAUUGUUGUGCAACCAUCCCCACCAUCCAUCCCCAUAACUCUUUUUCCCUUGUAAAACUGCAACAAUGUACCUACUAAACCAAUAAAUCCCUGUUCUCUCCUUCCCCCAGCCCUUGGCAACCACUGUUAUACUUUCUGUUUUUAUGAUUUUGACUACUCUGAUAAGUACCUCAUCUAAGUGGAAUCAUACAGUAUUUAUCUUUUUGGACUGACUUAUUUCACGUAGUAUAAUGUCCUCAAGAUUCAUCCAUGUUGUAGCAUAUUGCAGAAUCUCCUUCCUUUUUAAGGCUGAAUCAUAUUCCAUUGUAUGUAUAGACCACAUUUUGCUUAGCCAUUCGUCACUUGAUGGACAUUUGGGUUUUUUCCACGUUUUGACUAUUUAAUACUGUGAAAGUGCUGCUAUGAGCGUGGGUGUACAAAUAUUUCUCCAAGACCCUGCUGUCACUUCUUUGGGGUAUAGACCCAGAGGUAGAAUUGCUAAAUUAUAUGGUAGUUUUACUUUGAACUUUUUGAGGAACCACCAUACUAUUUUUCCCAGUGGCUGGACCAUUUUACAUAUAAUCCCACCAACAGUGCACAAGGGUUCCAAUUUCUCUGUGUCCUCUCCAAUCAACACUUAUUUUCUUUUUUUUUUCCUAAACAGCCAUCUUAAUGGAUGUAAGUGUUAUUUCAUUGUAGUUUUGAUUUGAAUUUCCCUAAUGAUACUGAUUUUGACCAUCUUUUCAUGUGCUUAUUGGCCAUGCAUAUAUCUUUUUUGGAGAAAUGUCUAUGUCUAUUCAAGUCCUUUGUGUUUUUUUGGCUUUUUUUCUUAUUUUGCUGAGGAUGAUUCACCCUGAGCUAACAUCCAUUGCCAAUCCCUCUUUUUUUUUUCUUUGCUUGAGGAAGAUUAGCCCUGAGCUAACUAACACGUGUGCCAGUAUUCCUCUAUCUUGUAUGUGGAUUGCUGCCAAAGUGUGGCUGACAAGUAGUGUAGGUCUGCGCCCGGCAUCCAAACCUGCAAACUCAGGCUGCUAAAGGAGCGCACUAACCUGAACCACCACACCACGAGGCUGGCCCCUGCCUAUUGAAUUGGUUUGUUUGGUUGUUGAGUUUUAGAAGGUCUCUAUAUAUUCUGUAUAUUAAUCCUUUAUCAGAUAUAAUAAAUAUUAUCUCCCAUUCUGUGAGUUGCCUUUUUACUCUGAGGAUAAUGUAUUUUGAUGUACAAAGUUUCAAAAUUUUAAUAAAAUCUCAUUUGUCU
ensembl:lncRNA